rnacentral:rRNA from 1 species
UACGUAGGGGGCUAGCGUUGUCCGGAAUCAUUGGGCGUAAAGAGCGUGUAGGCGGUCCGGUAAGUCCGCUGUGAAAGUCGGGGGCUCAACCCUCGAAUGCCGGUGGAUACUGUCGGGCUAGAGUGCGGAAGAGGCGAGUGGAAUUCCUGGUGUAGCGGUGAAAUGCGCAGAUAUCAGGAGGAACACCAAUUGCGAAGGCAGCUCGCUGGGACGGUACUGACGCUGAGACGCGAAAGCGUGGGGAGCAAACAGG